rnacentral:rRNA from 1 species
GAUUGAACGCUGGCGGUAUGCUUAACACAUGCAAGUCGAACGGAAACGAUACUAGCUUGCUAGUAGGCGUCGAGUGGCGGACGGGUGAGUAACGCGUAGGAAUCUGCCUGAUAGUGGGGGAUAGCCCGAAGAAAUUCGGAUUAAUACCGCAUAAUCUAUUCGUAGUAAAGUGGGGGACUUUCGAGCCUCACGCUAUCAGAUGAGCCUGCGUAAGAUUAGCUAGUUGGUAGGGUAAAAGCCUACCAAGGCGACGAUCUUUAGCUGGUCUGAGAGGAUGAUCAGCCACAUCGGGACUGAGACACGGCCCGAACUCCUACGGGAGGCAGCAGUGGGGAAUAUUGGACAAUGGGGGCAACCCUGAUCCAGCAAUACCGCGUGUGUGAAGAAGGCCUGAGGGUUGUAAAGCACUUUCAAUUGUGAAGAAAAGCUAGUGGUUAAUAGCCAUUAGCCUUGACGUUAACUUUAGAAGAAGCACCGGCUAACUCCGUGCCAGCAGCCGCGGUAAUACGGAGGGUGCAAGCGUUAAUCGGAAUUACUGGGCGUAAAGCGUGCGUAGGCGGUUUAUUAAGUCAGAUGUGAAAGCCCCGGGCUUAACCUGGGAACUGCAUUUGAAACUGGUCAACUAGAGUAUGGUAGAGGAAAGUGGAAUUUCUGGUGUAGCGGUGAAAUGCGUAGAUAUCAGAAAGGAACAUCAAUGGCGAAGGCAACUUUCUGGACCAAUACUGACGCUGAGGUACGAAAGCGUGGGUAGCAAACAGGAUUAGAUACCCUGGUAGUCCACGCCGUAAACGAUGAUAACUAGCCGUUGGGGGGGAUUUACCCCUUAGUGGCGAAGCUAACGCGUUAAGUUAUCCGCCUGGGGAGUACGGCCGCAAGGUUAAAACUCAAAGGAAUUGACGGGGACCCGCACAAGCGGUGGAGCAUGUGGUUUAAUUCGAUGCAACGCGAAGAACCUUACCUGGUCUUGACAUCCUGCGAACUUUCUAGAAAUAGAUUGGUGCCUUCGGGAACGCAGUGACAGGUGCUGCAUGGCUGUCGUCAGCUCGUGUCGUGAGAUGUUGGGUUAAGUCCCGUAACGAGCGCAACCCCUAUCCUUAUUUGCCAGCACAUCAUGGUGGGAACUAUAAGGAGACUGCCGGUGAUAAACCGGAGGAAGGCGGGGACGACGUCAAGUCAUCAUGGCCCUUACGACCAGGGCUACACACGUGCUACAAUGGGAAGGACAAAGAGCCGCGAAGCCGCGAGGUGUAGCUAAUCUCAGAAACCUUUUCGUAGUCCGGAUUGGAGUCUGCAACUCGACUCCAUGAAGUCGGAAUCGCUAGUAAUCGUAGAUCAGAAUGCUACGGUGAAUACGUUCCCGGGUCUUGUACACACCGC